rnacentral:rRNA from 1 species
CCUACGGGUGGCAGCAGUGGGGAAUAUUGGGCAAUGGGCGCAAGCCUGACCCAGCAACGCCGCGUGAAGGAAGAAGGCUUUCGGGUUGUAAACUUCUUUUCUCAGGGACGAAGAAAGUGACGGUACCUGAGGAAUAAGCCACGGCUAACUACGUGCCAGCAGCCGCGGUAAUACGUAGGUGGCAAGCGUUAUCCGGAUUUAUUGGGUGUAAAGGGCGUGUAGGUGGGAGCGCAAGUCAGAUGUGAAAACUCAGGGCUCAACCCUGAGCCUGCAUUUGAAACUGUGUUUCUUGAGUGCUGGAGAGGCAAUCGGAAUUCCGUGUGUAGCGGUGAAAUGCGUAGAUAUCAGGAGGAACACCGGUGGCGAAGGUGGCCUGCUGGACUGCGACUGACGUUGAGGCCCGAAAGCGUGGGGAGCAAACAGGAUUAGAUACCCCUGUAGUC